rnacentral:rRNA from 1 species
ACACCAGUGGCGAAGGCGGCUUCCUGGACAGAGACUGACACUGAGGCGCGAAAGCGUGGGGAGCGAACAGGAUUAGAUACCCUGGUAGUCCACGCUGUAAACGAUGGAUACUAGGUGUAGGUGGUAAGAAACCAUCUGUGCCGGAGUAAACACAAUAAGUAUCCCACCUGGGGAGUACAGCCGCAAGGUUGAAACUCAAAGGAAUUGACGGGGGCCCGCACAAGCAGUGGAGUAUGCGGUUUAAUUCGAAGCAACGCGAAGAACCUUACCAGGGCUUGACAUCCCUUGAACUAUCUAGAGAUAGGUAGGGCCUACGGGACAAGGAGACAGGUGGUGCAUGGUUGUCGUCAGCUCGUGUCGUGAGAUGUUGGGUUAAGUCCCGCAACGAGCGCAACCCUUAUAGCUAGUUGCCAGCAAUAAGAUGGGGACUCUAGCGAGACAGCCGUUGAGAAAACGGAGGAAGGAAAGGAUGACGUCAAAUCAUCAUGCCCCUUAUGCUCUGGGCUACACACGUACUACAAUGGCUACUACAGAGGGAAGCGAAGCCAGGAGGCGGAGCAAAUCUCAAAAAGGUAGUCCCAGUUCAGAUUGUAGGCUGAAACUCGCCUGCAUGAAGUAGGAAUUGCUAGUAAUUGCAGGUCAGAAUACUGCAGUGAAUACGUUCCCGGGCCUUGUACACACCGCCCGUCACACCAUGAGAGUCUGCAACACCCGAAGUCAGUAGUUUAACCGAAAGGAGACACUGCCGAAGGUGGGGUAGGUGAUUGGG